GACACAGGGAGACACAGAGAGACACAGGGAGACACCGAGAGACAACGGGAGACACAGGGAGACAACGGGGGACAUCCGCACGUUCAGUGGGCGAUGGUGCUCAACGUUCCCAGGUGAGGGGCCACGCGCCUCGCCAGAGUCGGCAUCGCCUCGAGCCCCCCACCGCUGAGCCCCCCACCACUGAGCCCCCCACCACUGAGCCGCCCCCACCUUUACGGGGCCGCCGCUCCUGCCAAAGUCAUUGUGGCCGGGUCGACGAUCGAGACGACGACGAUGAAGACGACGACGAGGAGGAGGAGGAGGAGGAGUUGACGCGGACCAAAACCGAAUAUUGGAGCUCAUCAGGACCGGCAGCCUGGAUAGCGUCAUGUCGAUGAGAAUAUGAAGAUGGGAAGUGAAGCAUCCGGACUGCCGCCCCCAUCUCUCGCCCCCCCCUCCUCCACCGCCCACCACCCCUCCCAUGCAUCUGUGAUCUCAGCUGCCACGGCGGCCGUGAAGACUCCCGCAUCACGCAGCACUCGACUACUUUCCAUCGAACUCCUCCUCCUCCGCUACUUCCACACUCCCAGGGCAGGAACGAGACUUCACCACUGAAGCCAUCAGCAGCAGCCAGCAGCAGUCAGCAGCACCACCACCGGCGUGCGCCCCGUGUCGUCUUAACAGACGCUUGGGGCAAGUGCUGAUCGCGAUCCAGCCUAUGAAGCGGUUGGCUGGCCACCAUCACGCCCGCCCGCCUUUGUAUCUCCAGUGGCGGUGUUUACACACAGCACCAGAAGCACCUUGGGCUAUCGCAAAUGAUAGGUCAGCGAAGUGGCUUAUCGCAUGGAAGCUUAUAGCAGACAAAUUAAUAGCAACCAAAAACUCUAAACGCGUGACGUUGAUUCUAAACGUGGAGGGGAAAGCCAGGAGGACCCGGAGAGAAAUCCACGCGACCACGGGGAGAGAGAGACACCGCAAACUCCAAAUAUACAGCAACAGCAGGCGUCAGGGUCGGGAUUGAACCCACGGCCUCCUGCAUAACCAGGCGAGGUAGUUAACAUCUCCUAGCCACGUAACAAUGUAAUGACCCACGUUUGUAUUAAGAACACGCCUCCUUCACGUAUCUGCCUGUCCACCACCACCACGAACAUCAUCGUCGAGACGCAGGGCCAUGGCGUGCUGUUGCUGUUGGACGGCAGCCUCGACAGUGAACGUCCAGGCCAACAGCGCCUCUCCACAAUAAUAAUAAUAACAAUAAUAAUAAACAAAUAUAUACUGUGUAAAUGUGUGUGUGUGUGUACUGCACAUGUAUUUCUCGCACAACCUAUCGGCCCCAACGGCACUCUGUGAGUGCAUGCUCUCAGCAGAAUUGAUUAUGCACGAGCAAGUGAGAGGACAGGCGAGAGGGGGAGUAGGAGGCACCUGAGAGCAUCGGAGUAAGGGCAGGUGAGAGGAAAGGUGAGAGGGUAGAUGAGAGGGCAGCUUAGGGGGCAGGUGAUAGAGUGCAUGAGAGAGCAGGUGAGAGGGCAGGUGAGAGGGCACGUUAGCAGACAGGUGAGAUGACAGGUGAGAGGGUAGAUGAUGAGAGGGCAGGUUAGCGGACAGGUGAGAUGACAGGUGAGAGGGUAGAUGAUGAGAGGGCAGGUUAGCGGACAGGUGAGAUGACAGGUGAGAGGGUAGAUGAUGAGAGGGCACGUUAGUGGACAGGUGAGAUGACAGGUGAGAGGGUAGAUGAUGAGAGGGCACGUUAGCGGACAGGUGAGAUGACAGGUGAGAGGGUAGAUGAUGAGAGGGCAGGUUAGCGGACAGGUGAGAGGGUAGAUGAUGAGAGGGCACGUUAGCGGACAGGUGAGAUGACAGGUGAGAGGGUAGAUGAUGAGAGGGCACGUUAGCGGACAGGUGAGAUGACAGGUGAGAGGGUAGAUGAUGAGAGGGCAGGUUAGCGGACAGGCGAGAUGACAGGUGAGAGGGUAGAUGAUGAGAGGGCGGGUUAGCGGACAGGUGAGAUGACAGGUGAGAGGGUAGAUGAUGAGAGGGCGGGUUAGCGGACAGGUGAGAUGACAGGUGAGAGGGUAGAUGAUGAGAGGGCAGGUUAGCGGACAGGUGAGAUGACAGGUGAGAGGGUAGAUGAUGAGAGGGCACGUUAGUGGACAGGUGAGAUGACAGGUGAGAGGGUAGAUGAUGAGAGGGCAGGUUAGCGGACAGGUGAGAUGACAGGUGAGAGGGUAGAUGAUGAGAGGGCACGUUAGCGGACAGGUGAGAUGACAGGUGAGAGGGUAGAUGAUGAGAGGGCAGGUUAGCGGACAGGUGAGAUGACAGGUGAGAGGGUAGAUGAUGAGAGGGCAGGUUAGCGGACAGGUGAGAUGACAGGUGAGAGGGUAGAUGAUGAGAGGGCACGUUAGCGGACAGGUGAGAUGACAGGUGAGAGGGUAGAUGAUGAGAGGGCUGGUUAGCGGACAGGUGAGAUGACAGGUGAGAGGGUAGAUGAUGAGAGGGCUGGUUAGCGGACAGGUGAGAUGACAGGUGAGAGGGUAGAUGAUGAGAGGGCACGUUAGCGGACAGGUGAGAUGACAGGUGAGAGGGUAGAUGAUGAGAGGGCUGGUUAGCGGACAGGUGAGAUGACAGGUGAGAGGGUAGAUGAUGAGAGGGCAGGUUAGCGGACAGGUGAGAUGACAGGUGAGAGGGUAGAUGAUGAGAGGGCACGUUAGCGGACAGGUGAGAGGGUAGAUGAUGAGAGGGCAGGUUAGCGGACAGGUGAGAUGACAGGUGAGAUGGUAGAUGAUGAGAGGGCAGGUUAGCGGACAGGUGAGAUGACAGGUGAGAGGGUAGAUGAUGAGAGGGCGGGUACCAUUAUCUCCUGGGAUUCACAGAGCGGUGUCAUGGGUGUCCAGGUCUCCCCCCGCUCCCACAGCUCUUCCCCCCUCCACCUUCCCCCACUGCCCCCCCUCCCCCGCGCCCCCCCCCCCCCCUCCACCUCGCGUGUCGUCGCUGUGGUCCUAGGAGCGGAGUGCGGGAGACAAAGACGACUCAGAGCGCAGA